rnacentral:rRNA from 1 species
GAGUAACACGUAGGUAAUCUGCCUUCAGGUCUGACAUAACCCACCGAAAGGUGAGCUAAUAUCAGAUGAUGCAGCGGCUUGACAUCAAGACAGUUGUUAAAGCUUCGGCGCCUGAAGAUGAGCCUGCGUCUGAUUAGCUAGUUGGCGGGGUAACGGCCCACCAAGGCAACGAUCAGUAGCUGGUCUGAGAGGAUGAUCAGCCACACUGGAACUGAGACACGGUCCAGACUCCUACGGGAGGCAGCAGUAAGGAAUAUUGCUCAAUGGCCGAAAGGCUGAAGCAGCAACGCCGCGUGAGGGAUGAAGGGCUUUUGCUUGUAAACCUCUGUAGUGAGAGAAAAAACUUCCACUCUGUGGAACAUGAUGGUAUCUCAAAAGUAAGCCCCGGCUAACUACGUGCCAGCAGCCGCGGUAAUACGUAGGGGGCAAACGUUGUCCGGAUUUACUGGGUGUAAAGGGUGCUCAGGCGGUUUUGUAAGUCAGAAGUGAAAUCCUAGAGCUUAACUCUGGAACUGCUUUUGAUACUGCAAGGCUUGAAUAUGGAAGAGGAGGAUGGAAUUUCUGGUGUAGCAGUGAAAUGCGUAGAUAUCAGAAAGAACACCAGUGGCGAAGGCGGUCCUCUGGUCCAUUAUUGACGCUAAAGCACGAAAGCGUGGGGAGCAAACAGGAUUAGAUACCAUGGUAGUCCAC